UAAUAGUGUAUAUUAAAGUUGUUGCAGUUAAAAAGCUCGUAGUCGGAGAAUGUGGGGUCUUUGGCGCAAGCCUGGAGGUUGAGGGUCGGUGGAAACGCCGCACGCCGAGACCAGACCCCAUAACUAGGGCCACGUACACGUUACGGGGCCCACUUUACUUUGAACAAACUAUAGUGUUCCAAGCAGGCUUUUUUUAACAAAACUCGCCGUGAGUAUCUCAGCAAGGAAUAAACACGUAGGACACUGGUUCUAUCUUGUUGGGCGUAGGGGUUCUACCUCUGCGCGGCAUUCGAAAGGAUGUCUCUCACAACCAGAGUAAUGAUUAAUAGGGUCAGUCGGGGGCGUUGGUAUUCCGUUGUCAGAGGUGAAAUUCUUAGAUUUACGGAAGACUAACUAAUGCGAAAGCAUUCGCCAAGGAUGUUUUCAUUGA
rnacentral:rRNA from 1 species